GAACGUGCUGCUGAGAGUGCCAGUCUGCGAGGUUUUGCUUUCAUGUCUGGACGGAAGAGAAGUCUAGAGUCGCUGAUGUGUAUUCAAGGUCAUCAUAGUGUAUGGAAGAACAUCAGUUGUCAUGCUGAUGGCAUUUUAUUAGUAGAUGACUGACCAUCACUAGAGCUAAUGGACAUAAUCAGUGCCUGAAGAUUUAAGUGGAACUGAUGGAACCAUGUGCCAGGAUGUACAGGCUCCCUAGGAAGGACUCUUGACGAGAGGUACAUCUUACCAGUUAAGAUAUUAUCAUUUCCAUUCACAAAAUGGCAAAACACAGGAAGAUGUUUUCAUUCAUAUUUUGUGGAAGGUACAGGUGAUCACGAGUAUGAAUCCCCCAGGGGUCAAGUCAAUGUGGAAGAAACCUGGAGUGAGUCCCAUAACCUCUGUGACAAAGGGAGAGUAAAGCUUUGACCUGGAAGAAUG